GCCUACGGGAGGCAGCAGUGGGGAAUAUUGGACAAUGGGCGCAAGCCUGAUCCAGCCAUGCCGCGUGUGUGAAGAAGGUCUUCGGAUUGUAAAGCACUUUAAGUUGGGAGGAAGGGUUGUAGAUUAAUACUCUGCAGCUUUGACGUUACCGACAGAAUAAGCACCGGCUAACUUCGUGCCAGCAGCCGCGGUC
rnacentral:rRNA from 1 species